UACGGAGGGUGCGAGCGUUAAUCGGAAUUACUGGGCGUAAAGGGUGCGUAGGUGGCGCCGUAAGUCGGGUGUGAAAUUUCGGAGCUUAACUCCGAAACUGCAUUCGAUACUGCGGUGCUCGAGGACUGGAGAGGAGACUGGAAUUCAUGGUGUAGCAGUGAAAUGCGUAGAGAUCAUGAGGAAGACCAGUGGCGAAGGCGGGUCUCUGGACAGUUCCUGACGCUGAGGCACGAAGGCCAGGGGAGCAAACGGG
rnacentral:rRNA from 1 species